rnacentral:rRNA from 1 species
AAGGUAGCAUAAUCAUUAGUUUUUUAAUUGAAAGCUGGUAUGAAAGGUUGGAUGAAAAAAUAGCUGUCUCUAUUUAAAUUUGUUAGAAUUUUAUUUUUAGGUAAAAAAGCCUAAAUAUUUAUUGAAGACGAGAAGACCCUAUAGAGUUUUAUAAAUUUAAUUAUUGAAAAUUUUAGUAUUUUAAAAGUUAAUUAUUAAAUUUAUUUAGUUGGGGKGAUUGAAAAAUUUAUUAAACUUUUUUUUAUAUAUAAACAUAGAUUUAUGAAUAGUUGAUCCUUUUAUUAAGAUUAAAAGAUAAAAUUAC